rnacentral:rRNA from 1 species
UACGUAGGGGGCGAGCGUUGUCCGGAUUUAUUGGGCGUAAAGAGCGUGUAGGCGGCCAAAUAGGUCGGUUGUGAAAACUGGAGGCUUAACCUCCAGAUGUCGACCGAAACCAUCUGGCUAGAGUCCGGAAGAGGAGAAUGGAAUUCCCGGUGUAGCGGUGAAAUGCGCAGAUAUCGGGAAGAACACCCGUGGCGAAGGCGGUUCUCUGGGACGGUACUGACGCUGAGACGCGAAAGCGUGGGGAGCGAACAGG